AGCAGCAUCUAAAUGAGAAAGCUGGAAGCUAGAACACUCCGUUACACCAUACACAAAAAUAAACUCAAAAUGGAUCAAAGACUUAAAACGUAAGACAAGAUACAAUAAACCUGCUAGAA